GACGAACGCUGGCGGCGUGCCUAACACAUGCAAGUCGAACGGUAAGGCCCUUCGGGGUACACGAGCGGCGAACGGGUGAGUAACACGUGGGUGAUCUGCCCUGCACUUCGGGAUAAGCCUGGGAAACUGGGUCUAAUACCGGAUAGGACCACUGCCUGCAUGGGUGGUGGUGGAAAGCUUUUGUGGUGUGGGAUGGGCCCGCGGCCUAUCAGCUUGUUGGUGGGGUGAUGGCCUACCAAGGCGACGACGGGUAGCCGGCCUGAGAGGGUGACCGGCCACACUGGGACUGAGAUACGGCCCAGACUCCUACGGGAGGCAGCAGUGGGGAAUAUUGCACAAUGGGCGCAAGCCUGAUGCAGCGACGCCGCGUGAGGGAUGACGGCCUUCGGGUUGUAAACCUCUUUCAGCACCGACGAAGCGCAAGUGACGGUAGGUGCAGAAGAAGGACCGGCCAACUACGUGCCAGCCGCCGCCGUAA
rnacentral:rRNA from 1 species